AUCUAUGGCCAUGCUACCCUGAACAAGCCUGAUCCUGUCUGAUCUCAGAAGCUAAGCAGGAUCGGGCCUGGUUAGUACUUGGAUGGGAGACCACCUAGGAAGACUAGGUGCUAUAGGUG
rnacentral:rRNA from 1 species